rnacentral:rRNA from 1 species
GACGAACGCUGGCGGCGUGCUUAAUACAUGCAAGUGGAGCGACGAACCAGGCUUCGGCCUGGGGCAGAGCCGCGAACGGGUGAGUAACACGUGGGUAACCUGCCUCGAUGACCGGGACAACCCGGGGAAACCCGGGCUAAUACCGGAUGUGCUGUCCCCACAUCAGUGGAGACAGGAAAGGAAGCUUCGGCCUCCGCAUCGAGAUGGGCCCGCGGCCCAUUAGCUUGUUGGUGUGGUAACGGCUCACCAAGGCUGCGAUGGGUAGCUGGUCUGAGAGGACGAUCAGCCACACUGGGACUGAGACACGGCCCAGACUCCUACGGGAGCAGCAGUAGGGAAUCUUGCGCAAUGCGCGAAAGCGUGACGCAGCAACGCCGCGUGGGGGAA